rnacentral:rRNA from 1 species
CCCUUAGAUGUUCUGGGCCGCACGCGCGCUACACUGUCGGAUUCAGCGAGUCUUAACCUUAACCGAAAGGUUUGGGUAAUCUUUUGAAAGUCCGACGUGAUGGGGAUUGAUCAUUGCAAUUAUUGAUCAUGAACGAGGAAUUCCUAGUAAGCGCGGGUCAUCAUCCCGCGCUGAAUACGUCCCUGCCCUUUGUACACACCGCCCGUCGCUCCUACCGAUUGAGUGGUCCGGUGAGGCUUUGGGAUCUGAGCGGAAAGAGCGUUUCGCUGUUUCUGCUCGGAAAACUCAGUCGAACCUUAUCAUUUAGAGGAAGGAGAAGUCGUAACA